rnacentral:rRNA from 1 species
UACAGAGGUCCCGAGCGUUGUUCGGAUUCAUUGGGCGUAAAGGGUGCGUAGGCGGUCUUCUAAGUUUGAUGUGAAAUUCCGGGGGCUCAACCCUGGCAUGGCAUUGAAUACUGGAGGACUAGAGUACCGGAGAGGAAACUGGAAUUUACGGUGUAGCAGUGAAAUGCGUAGAGAUCGUAAGGAAGACCAGUGGCGAAGGCGAGUUUCUGGACGGUAACUGACGCUGAGGCACGAAGGCCAGGGGAGCAAACGGG